rnacentral:rRNA from 1 species
GACGAACGCUGGCGGCGUGCUUAACACAUGCAAGUCGAGCGGUAAGGCCUUUCGGGGGUACACGAGCGGCGAACGGGCGAGUAACACGUGGGUGACCUGCCCUCAGCUCUGGGAUAAGCCUGGGAAACUGGGUCUAAUACCGGAUAUGACUCCAUGACGCAUGUUGUGGGGUGGAAAGCCUUGUGCGGCUGAGGAUGGGCCCGCGGCCUAUCAGCUUGUUGGUGGGGUGAUGGCCUACCAAGGCGACGACGGGUAGCCGGCCUGAGAGGGCGACCGGCCACACUGGGACUGAGACACGGCCCAGACUCCUACGGGAGGCAGCAGUAAGGAAUAUUCCACAAUGGGGGAAACCCUGAUGGAGCGACGCCGCGUGCGCG